rnacentral:rRNA from 1 species
GUGACAUGUGUCUUUUACAAUCUGUAUUCCUGGGAAAUUAGGUUCAGGAUAAGGUACGGCAAGAGCACGCAUGUUGAGAGAACAAAAUGCAUGCAGAAGAUCGUUUGUGGUUGCUUGCCUAAAAAUUUGGGGUCCCCAAAAGAAGCAACACACAUUCCUGCCGUUGUUCCAUGGAUCAGUGAAGGGCUGUCAGUGGCCGCGAGCAACUCGUGCCGAGAAGUUUGUCUUGAUGUCGUGUCGACGAUUCUUGAUCUAAAUGGUUUGCCAGACAGCUGCAACGCAUUAGUGGACUCCCGGCCAGUCGACGAGCAAAGACGACCCACAGUCACCAGGAUGAACGCAAAAGAGUUCACGUUGAACACCGCUGCUGUGCGCCCGGAGGCUAAAAAAGAGCCUGUCAUACAAGGGAGAGAGAGAGAUAGGUGUAGGGAGGCCCCGACACCCUUACAAUCCCCACCGGGGACUGGGAACCAAGAAACUACAGCAAGCUGCUCGGGGAUGCCAAAGAAGAGAAGAGCAAUACUAGAUCGUGCUGAUGUCAAGGGGAGUGCCAUCGGUAAUUUAGCUGGCCUGUUCGCACCACUUCGGAAACACAAGCCAGAGAGACCAACUAGCAGUCGAGACAAGCCUCUGUUCGAUGACAGAGCGUUGAAGAGCUCAAAGAAGAAACAGAACGAGAAUAUUGGGGAGACAGUUGGGUGUGGUUCAAGCAAGUAA